rnacentral:rRNA from 1 species
GACGAACGCUGGCGGCGUGCCUAAUACAUGCAAGUCGAACGCACAGUUUAUACCGUAGCUUGCUCCACCAUAGACUGUGAGUUGCGAACGGGUGAGUAACGCGUAGGUAACCUGCCUGGUAGCGGGGGAUAACUAUUGGAAACGAUAGCUAAUACCGCAUAAUAUUGAUUAUUGCAUGAUAAUUGAUUGAAAGAUGCUAUUGCAUCACUACCAGAUGGACCUGCGUUGUAUUAGCUAGUAGGUGAGGUAACGGCUCACCUAGGCGACGAUACAUAGCCGACCUGAGAGGGGGAUCGGCCAAACUGGGACUGAGACACGGCCCAGACUCCUACGGGAGGCAGCAGGAGGGAAUCUUCGGCAAUGGACGAAAGUCUGACCGAGCAACGCCGCGUGAGGGAAGAAGGGUGUCGGAUCGUAAAGCUCUGUUGUAAGAGAAGAACGGGUGUGAGAGUGGAAAGUUCACACUGUGACGGUAUCUGACCAGAAAGGGACGGCUAACUACGUG